CGGGAGAGAGGCGGCUGCAACUGCUGCUCCCCGGCUGGUGAAUGAUUAAUAGCAGCGGCGCGUCACCAGCUAAGGAAAGAAGGAGGGAAAGAAAAAAAAUACAGGAGGAGACAUAUCCAGUAAAUACACCCAGGCUCUCCUCUACCAGGGUCCAAAUUUCCUCUUCAUCAUGUUUCAGCAGUUGUAAUUCAUACAAGCUUCCCUGUGGACUGCAAGUUUCCAUCCUUUCCAUGAGUGGCCACUCCAAGCAAACAAGGUCUGAUCCUAGACUGUUCCACAAGUUACCUUGGCUGUGUUUCUCAGAAUAACACAGGGAGAUGCUUGACACCAAUAGAGCUGCAGUCAUGGUGUUUAGGGGAAUUCAGAAUAGGUGCUCAUGUGCCUUGGACAACAAAGAAUGAAAUACAUGUAAUCAAAGAAGAGGAUUUCCAGAAACCAGGGAGAUGAGGAAGAAACUUUGGCAUUGCCAGCCAGGGAUGCUCAAGAGUAAUAUCAGCAAGUUUUGUCUCUGGAAUGAAGGUACACACUGACUCCAAGCCUGUGGGAUAUGUCUGCUGCUGCUCAAGUACCACCUACUAAAUACAUUUCUUGGAAGGAGAUAAGCUCAUUUAAAAAAAAAAAAAUGGAUUCUCCCCAGAAUAUCCUGUUUCACAGGGAUUUAAGUAUGUCACAAGAAAGCAAGAGACACAUUUUAAAACUUUCCAAACUUUAUCUUAAAAUACAGACUAAGUCCCACCUUGUAUUCUGACACCAGAGUAACUCUUGCUGAAGCCAUCCCACUUUGUAUAAAUAAUUAACUACUCAUUAACAUCUUAGUAAUUAGCUGUUAUUGUGCCAGCACCACAGAAAACAGUGCAGUGAGAGGGUCAGUGUUGUUGGGGCUUGUUUUUUUAUUUAAGGAAAUGCUGCUUCACAAAUAAUCCUUACCUCCUUAAAUCACUGCUGACAUGCAAGCUGAUUCCAGGGAGUUUCUGAACUUAUUUGCUUCUGGGAUGUCACAUCAAGUCUCAGAUUCCUGCUUCCUCUGCAGAGAACUGGCUGCUCCCAGGAGUGGGGAACAUUAUAAGAAAUCUAAAGUAUCCUCCUGACUGACAGCAUCCAAAAAUCAGUAUAGCUAUUUCUAUUCUCUCAGGGAAAUACCCCAGCUAAACAAAGAAAUUAUUUCUAAAAUAGACCACUUACAGAAACUUGUGUCCGUGGCAAAUUUUUUGGAAACUUAUGCAUUUGGUUCCCAGAUAAGCUAUAUUUUUACUAAUAUCAGGGUUUCCUGGAAGUGGGAAUUGGGAAUUCAGAAGAGCUGUGCAGGCUGGAGUGUUCCCACCUUUCCAGCAAUAAAGUGGCAAACACAAGUGUUACAACCCACACAAGGCAAGGUGUUUGUGCUGUGACCUGAGUUCAUGGAGUCAACCAAACUGUUUUCAGCUGCUGUCAUUGUCUCUCAAAGUAACAAUUUUGUCAGUAUUUAGAGAAAAGAAGAAAGUUGAAUAGAAAAUAAGAGGGAAAAGCUGGAGCUAAGUUUGUGAGCAAAAUUUGUCCUUUUCAUUCACAGCCAUAACAGUAUCGUACUUUGAAGCCUUUAAACAUUAACCAAGAAUAAAGAAUUUCCUGCUGUUUGGAGCACUCAUGUUAAAUGAUAAAGGUCUCUUAGCAGUUGAGAGGAUUAUCCUGACUCUCUUUCAUCUGCCUCUCUUUCAUCAGACACAAUACUAUCACUUGCAGGCUCCAAGUCUCCAAGCAGUGAGUGGAUUGCCUUUCCCUUGAGUAUUGGGCAUCCUUGAAGUACUUCCAUUCCUCUUUUUAUCUUUUUCUGCGCAUUAUGUAGAGAUCACACAGCAAUUUAGGAAGGCAAAAAUAAAUUUCCUGUCUUGGAUUGUCACGGAGCAGGAAGGAUAGGAUCCUAAGGAAGAGUGAGGUAGGAGAUGAGGGAUCCCAGCCCGGACAGUGCUGUCACUGACCAGGACACAGUCCUGCAGCACCUGGGCACAGCAAGGCAGCAGCAGGUGCUGGAAACAGGGUGCAUCCACAGCCCCAUCCAGAGGGUCCCAGCAGGAGCAGCAGGGGACAGGGCAGCAGACAAGACUGGACACAUGACUGCAAUACAGGUCCGAGGGCUCCAGAGUGAAAUGGGACCGGGAACAGACAUCUCUGCAGUGCAGCUUGCACAGGGAAUGGGGGCUCAGCCAGAGUUAAAAUGGAUUUCAAGGCCCAUGGGCAGAAGAUGUGGGUGGGAGUCCCAGGAGAGUCUGGUCAACAUCAUUAGGGUCACUGGUACUCUCAAGACUCUGACAUUAACGUUCUGUUAAAUCCAGGAGAGACCAAAUCCCACACGUUAUAUUCUAUUCCUGGUUUUGCUUAUAACAUCUGCCCUAUCCCUGGCUUUCUUCCUCUAAGUUUCACAUGCUGAUUUCACUUUCAAAUUGUCACAAUGAAAGUUUUACCAUUGAUUGAUUAUUUUGACAAUCAAAAAUUUGGGAAAUUUGCUCUUUUUAAGUGUCCUAGUGCUGGAAUACCACAGUUAAACCACAGCAUCACAGCUCUCAAAUGCAGGGUGAAGUGAAUAAAAAGAAUUACAACUGAAAAAUAUUUUGUGAAAACUUAAUUAAUUGUAGGAAAAUUAGGAAUUGUACAACUCUAUGUGAAGGCUUUACUAGAAAAUUCCAUCAAUGAUCAGGUAUAUAUAAUUCAUCCAUUCACAAAUUGAAAUUAAUAACCCUUUGUGUAAAAUUUUGAAAUAAAAUGUAUUUAUUGGUGAUUUUCUUAUAUACAUUGUAUGUUUCAGCUUCAUCUAAUUAAAAGCCUGAAAU